UUAAACAUCAUGUGGUGCUAUGCAGUCAAAAAGUAACAAACAAACAUACUGAUUAUGGUAGAAGAAUAGGUCUUAAUAAUUAAAUUGAAUCUAGGAAAUUGCAUGUUAAUUUUUAGAAUUUAUUCAUCCUUAAUAAGAUCAAUAUAUUCUAUAAAUUUGCUGUAUGGGCCCAGCGUAGAAUGAGCCAGCCCUUCCAUUUCUGUGGGUAUGAGGUGACUAAGAAAAUGUAUUAGUCGAGGGACGGGUAGCAAUGUCCUUCUUAAAAUAUGACCCAAGUCUAACUACAAUUGCCAAUCUGCCUGCUAGGUUUGGCAACUACUAGCAAAACCCGCCAAGGGGGAAGCCUAUAUUCAACAGUGGACAGACGACAGAUAUGAUGAUUCUAGAUAUAUAUAUAUUUUUAAGAAUUUUGUAUAUAUUAUGUAUGUACACUUUAUGUACGUUUCGACAUGACACAAAGACUACUGCACCAAAUCGAAAGAGGUCUAUUUCUUUAGAAAAGCAAAAACUACUUUUAAAAUUUACACGUACAAAAAUAAUCAUAUUCUCUAUACUCGAAGUGAUACAUACGAUUCUAUGUAAAUUACAAGGCUCUUGUGCAAGAGUUAAACAGGUUUUAUGAGCCGUAACAAAGGUAACGAUGAAGACAGACAAAUUGCAAUGGCGUUUACACGCAUCGUGGGGUUCAUAAGAACUCCAAAAUCACGUCGUUGGAACUUGAUAGCUGAUGUUCAUUUUGCUGGGAUGAGUUCGGAGGCUUUAUUGCUAAAAAUAAAGUGAUGAUCUUGUCUUAGAUGUGAUCUCUGCCUUUAAAUAUAUAUAAAAAAAUUACACUGAAUUUAUGGACCUAACCAUUGAGGAUGAUUAUUUCUUCAGGGACCUCUCUGAAAUAUAAGCCGAAGAUCUACAGCGGCAUAUCACAUUUACACAAUGAGCGAUGAAGCUCGUACGGUCUCAGGAGAAAACUAUGGCCGUCGUGAGUCUCGCAAUUUAAUCAAGAAGGGAUAGAGACGUCGCCGGUCGGCGCGAAAAUUUUAAUUGGAGUUGUUAAUAAAUUAAUGGGAAUAUAUUCAUACGAAUGGAUAAAGGAAUUAGGAAAGGAUGUCGGAACAAUAUAAGAAUGAUAUGGUUCAUCUAUGCACCAAAUUUUGUCCACAUACCUCCGUGGCGUAGAGGUGGACACGUUUUUACAUAAAUGAAGAACUGGUCCGAUUCUCGGUUGAAUUAAUUUUAGGAAGUAAACUUUUCUGAAUUAGCUCAUCACUGAGUAGUCUGGAUUAUAUAAGGUUGUCAAUCAGACGAAACAUCCUUAUAAGCUUCAAGUCUUAUAUCAUACAUAUCUAUAUACAUAAUGUGUAUGU